CAGUCGCCGCGGGAAUACGGAGGGUGCAAGCGUUAAUCGGAAUUACUGGGCGUAAAGCGUGCGUAGGCGGUUCGUUAAGUCUGUUGUGAAAGCCCCGGGCUCAACCUGGGGAUGGCAAUGGAUACUGGCGAGCUAGAGUGUGUCAGAGGAUGGUGGAAUUCCCGGUGUAGCGGUGAAAUGCGUAGAGAUCGGGAGGAACAUCAGUGGCGAAGGCGGCCAUCUGGGACAACACUGACGCUGAGGCACGAAAGCGUGGGGAGCAAACAGGAUUAGAGACCCCUGUAGUCCCUGUCUCUUAUAC
rnacentral:rRNA from 1 species